UACGAAGGGUGCUAGCGUUGUUCGGAAUCAUUGGGCGUAAAGCGUGCGUAGGCGGCUUAAUAAGUCAGUUGUGAAAGCCCAAGGCUCAACCUUGGAAUUGCAGUUGAAACUGUUAGGCUAGAGUAUGAAAAGGGAUAGUGGAAUUCUUAGUGUAGGGGUGAAAUCCGUAGAUAUUAAGAGGAACACCAGUGGCGAAAGCGACUAUCUAUGUCAUUACUGACGCUGUUGCACGAAAGCGUGGGGAGCAAACAGG
rnacentral:rRNA from 1 species